rnacentral:rRNA from 1 species
CGCGAAUGGCUCAUUACAACAGCUAUAAUUUACUUGAUCUUGACACAAUCCUACUUGGAUAACUGUGGUAAUUCUAGAGCUAAUACAUGCAUUAAAGCUCUGACCUCACGGGAAGAGUGCAUUUAUUAGAACAAAACCAAGCGGCUUCGGCUGUUUCUGGUUGACUCAUAGUAACUGAGCUGAUCGCAUGGUCUUGCACCGGCGACGUGUCUUUCAAGUAUCUGCCGUAUCAACUUUCGAUGGUAGUGUAUCUGGCUACCAUGGUGAUCACGCGUAACGGAGAAUAAGGGUUCGGCUCCGGAGAGUUCGCCUGAGAAAUCGCGAACACAUCUAAGGAAGGCAGCAGGCGCGAAAAUUACCCACUCUCAGCACGAGGAGGUAGUGACGAAAAAUAACGAGACCGUUCUCUUAUGAGGCCGGUCAUCGGAAUGGGUACAAUUUAAACCCUUUAACGAGUAUCUAUGAGAGGGCAAGUCUGGUGCCAGCAGCCGCGGUAAUUCCAGCU